rnacentral:rRNA from 2 species
AAGGUUGACCUCGGAUCAGGUAGG